rnacentral:rRNA from 1 species
GACGAACGCUGGCGGCGUGCCUAAUACAUGCAAGUCGAACGAGAGCGACCGGUGCUUGCACUGGUCAAUCUAGUGGCGAACAGGUGAGUAACACGUGGGUAACCUGCCCAUCAGAGGGGGAUAACAUCCGGAAACGGAUGCUAAAACCGCAUAGGUCUUCGAGCCGCAUGGCUUGAAGAGGAAAAGAGGCGCAAGCUUCUGCUGAUGGAUGGACCCGCGGUGCAUUAGCUAGUUGGUGAGGUAACGGCUCACCAAGGCCGUGAUGCAUAGCCGACCUGAGAGGGUGAUCGGCCACAUUGGGACUGAGACACGGCCCAAACUCCUACGGGAGGCAGCAGUAGGGAAUCUUCCGCAAUGGACGCAAGUCUGACGGAGCAACGCCGCGUGAGUGAAGAAGGUUUUCGGAUCGUAAAACUCUGUUGUUAGAGAAGAACAAGUGCUAGAGUAA